GACGAACGCUGGCGGCGCGCCUAACACAUGCAAGUCGAACGGAGCUGAGAGAAGCUUGCUUUUCUUAGCUUAGUGGCGCACGGGUGAGUAACGCGUGAGUAACCUGCCCUGGAGUGGGGGACAACAGUUGGAAACGACUGCUAAUACCGCAUAAGCCCACGAUCCGGCAUCGGAUUGAGGGAAAAGGAUUUAUUCGCUUCAGGAUGGACUCGCGUCCAAUUAGCUAGUUGGUGAGGUAACGGCCCACCAAGGCGACGAUUGGUAGCCGGACUGGGAGGUUGAACGGCCACAUUGGGACUGAGACACGGCCCAGACUCCUACGGGAGGCAGCAGUGGGGGAUAUUGCACAAUGGGGGAAACCCUGAUGCAGCGACGCCGCGUGGAGGAAGAAGGUUUUCGGAUUGUAAACUCCUGUCGUUAGGGACGAUAAUGACGGUACCUAACAAGAAAGCACCGGCUAACUACGUG
rnacentral:rRNA from 1 species